rnacentral:rRNA from 1 species
UACGGAGGGAGCUAGCGUUGUUCGGAAUUACUGGGCGUAAAGCGCACGUAGGCGGCUUUGUAAGUUAGAGGUGAAAGCCCGGGGCUCAACUCCGGAACUGCCUUUAAGACUGCAUCGCUUGAAUCCGGGAGAGGUGAGUGGAAUUCCGAGUGUAGAGGUGAAAUUCGUAGAUAUUCGGAAGAACACCAGUGGCGAAGGCGGCUCACUGGACCGGUAUUGACGCUGAGACGCGAAAGCGUGGGGAGCGAACAGG